GACACCAGCUUUGGCCGUUCUACAUUGUCAUUCAUUCCUCCCCCCCAACACGCGUGCCUGACCAUAUAGGAAAAUGAGUUUACAACCGACUACGCCUAUGGGACUCCCGGAGGGAUACAAUGUGAGAGCCUUUACUAGUGGUGGAUGGUCCUCAAAAGAUUUGAAAGUUUGGUCUGGAAGGAACAAUACAUAUCUUGGCACUUCACAACAACUGUUGGCAUAAUUUUCAGGAGAACAUGUAUAUCUUUUCACGUAGAGUCCAUGCCUGCUUUUAUGAUGAUUAUAUGGAAAAUAUAGAUGUCAGCAAGUAAUUCUGCGCUCUGUUUUGCUAAUUUCUACUGUGUGUACAAUAUAUCUACAGAUCAGGUCCAAGACAAGAACCUGAUAUGAUGCUUGAGGCAAAGGCUGCUCCAAAAGAUGGGGAGAUAAGGAGAGCCUGAAGCAUUCAUCCCAUUCAACCUGCCCCAGUAUGGUGAGUAAAAUUUAGCCACUCAAGCCUUCCAGGACUGCGUUGCACAUUUGAAGGAGGCUUUUUCUAUCCAGCUCUGCUGUGAGGUGGUUCCCAGCUCAGGAGGGAUGAGGUGCACCUAAAGCAGCAGGCAGUGGCCUGGCAUCCUCUGGACCAAUGGCCCCAGUGUGUGGGAUGGGAUGCCCUGCACAGUUCCUCACCCAGGGCAUACAGGGAAUGUAGCCUGAGAGGCUGCAAGCAAUCUGUGCCAGUAAUGAGCAGCCAACUAAUUGAUUACUGAAAGUAUAACUGAAUCCUAUGCC